GUGCUUGCUUUGGCAGCACAUAUACUAAAAUUGGAAUGGUACAGAGAAGAUUAGCAUGGCCCCUGUGCAAGGAUGACAUGCAAAUUCGUGAAGCAUUCCAUAUUUUU
rnacentral:snRNA from 1 species